rnacentral:rRNA from 1 species
GAUCAACGCUGGCGGCGUGCCUCAGACAUGCAAGUCGAACGAUUAAGACUCUCUUCGGAGAGUGUAUAAAGUGGCGCACGGGUGAGUAACACGUAGGUAAUGUACCGAAGGGUGGGGAAUAACUUAGGGAAACUUAAGCUAAUACCGCAUAAUGCAGCGGCUCGACAUCGAGACAGUUGUUAAAGGAGCAAUCCGCCUUUUGAGCAGCCUGCGGCAGAUUAGCUAGUUGGUAAGGUAAUGGCUUACCAAGGCUACGAUCUGUAACCGACCUGAGAGGGUGGUCGGUCACACUGACACUGAAUAACGGGUCAGACUCCUACGGAGGCAGCAGUGGGGAAUAUUGCGCAAUGGGCGAAAGCCUGACGCAGCGACGCCGCGUGGGUGAUGAAGGCC